UGUUGCUGAGCUGAAAUCCAAACAUCACCAACCAGCUCUUCACGUCUAAAAAUCAAAAGUAAAUAAAUGAGUGAAAAAUGAAGGAUGUCGUUACACAGCUGGAGAAAUUCUUUUCCGCAGCAAAAAGCUGUCAGCAAAUCAGCAUCAAGUGUUAACUGUAAAUAUGUCUAGAGGAUGGUGUUUGAAGGUUCUUAAACUGGGGGUCACAACCAAGAGUCAGGGGUCAAGACUACGCUGUCCUUUUCAUACUACCGAAUGGGAAGAUGGUCCUAGCUUGAUGGGAGAAGGUUCUGCAGGUGGAUGAGGAGACAGCGGAAGGAAAGUCCUGGAAUGGAGAAGUUUGAUCUAUUUCUUUUUCCAACACAAAAUUCUAAACUUUAGAAAUUUGCACUAAAACCUUUUAGUAAACAACCGUUAAUGAGUUCUCACCUGUUAC